rnacentral:rRNA from 1 species
UACGUAGGGUGCAAGCGUUAAUCGGAAUUACUGGGCGUAAAGCGUGCGCAGGCGGUUUUUGUAAGUCUGUCGUGAAAAUCCCCCGGGCUCAACCUGGGAAUUGCGAUGGAGACUGCAAGGCUAGAAUCUGGCAGAGGGGGGGUAGAAUUCCACGUGUAGCAGUGAAAUGCGUAGAGAUGUGGAGGAACACCGAUGGCGAAGGCAGCCCCCUGGGUCAAGAUUGACGCUCAUGCACGAAAGCGUGGGGAGCAAACAGGG